CAGGUUCUAAGAAUAAGAUUAAAACGGGAAGCGCCUGAAAUUGGCGUACGGUCCCGCCGCUGUAACCGGUAGCGAAAAUCUAUAUAGACGCCACUGCCUGAUCAAAUCAGGCGGGAAGGCAAGAUGAGUAGAGAGCCGGAAGUCAGAAGACCUGCCUGUAAAAU
rnacentral:ncRNA from 1 species